AUGAGGAGAAAAGGCUUUGGCCACAAGGGCUGCACUUGGAUCUCGAUCCUUCUCAAAACGGCUAGCACAAGGGUGAUUGUUAAUGGAGUUCCUGGCAGAAGUUUCACCCAUGCCAAGGGCCUUAGGCAGGGUGACCCGGUUUCGCCUUUGCUCUUCGUGAUCGCCAUGGAUGUGCUUUCUAGAAUCAUGAUCAAGACCGAGAGUUAUGGUGUUAGCAGUAGCUUCACUGGCAUCGAUGCACACCAAUCAGUGUCGAUCUAUGCGGAUGACGUGGCGUUGUUCGUCAAACCCAGGGUGCUGGACCUUACGUUCGUCAGAUCCGUGCUACACACUUUUGGUGCUGCUUCUGGCCUGUGGGUCAACUAUCAGAAGUCGCUAGACAUCAUGAUCCACGAGAACAACGAGGACCGGGAACGGGUCGAGUCCAUUUUGCGUUGCCGGAUGGGGAGUUUCCCAUGUAAGUACCUUGGCCUCUAA
rnacentral:rRNA from 1 species